CACGAACUGUGGUAUGAGGUUUUUAAAAUAUCAUUUUUCAUCACUCAAUCCUUUUCUUCAGCGAUUUGAAUCUCCCGUUUUGUCUAGAACACUGAUCUGAGUGCUUCUCAAUUUGAAUCAUUUGCUUAUUUCUUUCUCCUUUUCCUUGUAUAUUUGCAGAUGCGGCAUGUACCCUGACUUGGGGUCCUCAGAGAAAGCUACCACAGCUGCAACCAUCAUCAUCACCGGGGUUGCACCAGCGAAGAUGUACUCUGAGGGAUCGGAGAUGAGCCUGGAAGGAGGGAAAGGCUGCAAGUGCGGAAAUAACUGCAACUGCGAUCCAUGCAACUGCUAAGGCGAAUCAAUAAGAAGAUGGGAACGGUGCCUCAAGUAUCUAUGGUCUAUAUAAAUAA